rnacentral:lncRNA from 1 species
CCACAUGUGAUGUGCAGUUGAAGACUGUCUUCGACUGGUACCAGAGUUAAAAUAUCUAAAAUAUCAAGCAUGUUAUGGGUUAAAAUGUUUAACCCGUUCUUUCUGCAUAAAAAUUUUCUGAAAUUCAUGCUUAGCCCUCUGCACGCACACCAUCAGUGGUAUCAGAGCCCAUCCAGGUUCUUUGUGAUAUCAAAUAUCUAUGCAAGAUGUGAUCUUUUACAUAUGAUGUAAACUGAUUAUAUUAUUUCAUUAUGUUAUUCAUAUAAUGAAUGAACAUGUUGGUUUGCAUGAUUAACUUGAAUCUUAAAAGUGUUUUAAGGAUUUAAAGUUAUGGAGCAUGCAAAACCAAGAUAAGACAUGAAUAAUGCAAUAUACUUAAUUAUGAAUUGAGUAAUGAUAUAGAUCCUAGGCUUUAAAUGUGAUUUGAACGUCUAAGACAUUGCAUAAUUCAUGGGGUAAUGCUUUAGCUAAAACAAAUCCAAUUGAGUUGGACUCAAUGGUUGAAAUC